rnacentral:lncRNA from 1 species
ACUGACGAAGAGUCUCAUCCUUGUUCUGUAGUCGAGCAAAGGAGUUCAGCUAGCAGUUUCUCAGGAGAAGCCAAGGCUGCUUUCUUUCCAUUCUGCUCAAGAAUAGAGAGAUGACGCACUGUCUUAGUCUAUGCCGCCCUCUACCCCACCCUCCCUAUUAAAGCCAGGCAGAUCUUGAGUCUUUGAAUUAUUUCGUGCACAGCCAAGUACACACAGUUAAUAAGGUUGCUGUGAGUGUUCAGCUCCCUGCUUAGGGACAGGUCUGGAAGAGUUGAAGGGAUGUGUGUGUGUCUGACUAUUUUGAGACAGGGUCUCACCAUGUAGCUCUGGCUGGUCCGGAAUUCACAGUGACGUCCAAACUGGCCGCAUAGAGACUCACCUGCCUCCUGAGGGCUGAGGGUAAAGGUGUGCCUGGUCUGCUCACUCUUACACUGAUAUGCAAAUGUGAGUUCUGGAAAAGAGGACAGAAUUAUCCAGUUACAGAGAAGUACACUUAAGACCUGAAGAGAACUUAGCCUCCUGCGCUGUGCGCUGGGAUGGAGCAGUCAUCUCUUGUCUCUCCAUGGUGGUCUUCACUGGUGGCUGGGGAAUGGGCACGCACGCAGUGGGAAUAGUAACAAACAGCAUAGUUAUCUUGUUUCUGACUUGCCUUCUCUUGUUCCUUCAAGAUAGUCAGGGUUCAGAUGUUGGCUGUAGUAAUGUCUUUGUCCACCAGGUGGCAGAACUGUUGUACGUAAAUGUUCCUUUUGCUUCUAUGUGAGUCUUAGGGAUAACUUCUUUCAUAAUAAUAAAAGGAAAUGCCAUGGUCUUUUUUUUUUUAUCAUACUCCAUUGUUCUGGGGAUUGAACCCAGAACCUUGUGCACACCAGGCAUAACGCUCUACUGAGCAGCAUCUCCAAUCUUGUUAUUACAUUCUUUAGAAAUGUUUGGCAGUCUCAAUUUUAAGCCAUGACAGAAAUUACUGUAGUGUUUCCUUUGCAGUACCUAGUGCCACUGCAAACCGUUAUAGUCUUUUUCUAAGCUCCAUUAAGACCAUAAGCUUUGUCCUCAGCCUGCCUUAUGGUCUGAGCCUCCUACUCUGUAACCGACUCAGGAUGACAGUUUCUGAAUCUGCAGUGUCUGGGGGAGGGAAGGGUGAAUUGGUUACCAUAGCAGCUUUCAUCUGUUCUUUCUUUUGCAAUUGAAUUUGAAACUCUUGCUACUCUAAGGACUUUGUUUCAUUGGGUUAAAAAUAUUAACAUAGAAACAAAGCGCAAGCCAAGGCAUAUUUUGUUACUUGCCUUUGGCCUCUAUCACAUUCCUUUGAUCAUGCUGUAUUUUACUCUGUUCAAGCUACACCAAAUAGUGAGUGAGUACUGCAACCCUAAAAAGCCAUGGAUUAAUACAGUCUCUGUUUUAUGAUCACAGUGGUGCAGAUCUGUCACCAUCAGAGUUAAUAUCAGGUGGUUCUCCAGGCCUGUUUGGAUAUAAUUGUCAAGUAAACAGCCCUGCACUGCGCCAUGGUGGUGAUGUCAGCGCAGACGGAGUCUGCCCAGUGCUGAGUCUGAGGCUUCUGACCUGCAGGCGGGUGUCAGUGGGAGUAGUCAGUCAGCGACAGGCCUCUCCUCUCCCAAGCGUGGGCAGGAUGCCCUGGGGACAGAGCCACUGUGCUGCUGCUUAAGCUGUGUGACCUCUGUGGACCUCCUGCCUUGGUCCCCAAGAGGUUCUGCACAGGACCCCUCAGCCCCUUACAGAGACAGACACGGACUCUCCCCUGGAGAGAUCCUCAGGGGACUUGUGUUUCUCCUGAGCCAUUUCAUUUCCUUUAAGCUCCUGUAAGCUUUUGUUCUUAUGAGAGCAGAGUUGAUUUUCUUAGGCGGAAAGUUUAUUUUCAUGGAAGGGCUUUUAACCAUGAGGGAGUUUUUAGCUAAUGCAUAUCUCCCAUUUCAUCGCUUGUACCAAAUGCUGUCCUGUGCAAAGUAGGGUGGGGGGUAGGUGUCCACCUCUCUCAGAAAAUCAGAGAAGUGAGGACCAGGUAGUGUAGCAGAGAGGCCUACCAAAAUUAGUAUUUGUGUAACUAACUCCGAAGAACAUUUCAAGAAAAGCAAGAAGAGUGGAUGCCCGUGGCUGAUGUUCCCAGUUAGGCGACCGAGCUCUGCUGGGGACAGUGGACACUCAGUGUUCAAAACAAAUUACAGUUGGGGUCUCUGGGUUUAAGACGAGCCUGGCCUACAUACAUAGCAAGUUCUAGGACAUCCAGGGCUACGUAGAGAGACACUGUCACAAACAAAUAGAUG